UCUAGUGAUGAUGGCAAAGAGGUCACACCCGUUCCCAUACCGAACACGGAAGUUAAGCUCUUUAGCGCCGAUGGUAGUUGGGGGCUUCC
rnacentral:rRNA from 3 species